AAAAUGGCGGCACUCUGCUGGCUAAUGGUGGUUUCUUUAUCACUAAGGUCAUGCAGCGAGAAGGCAAAAUCAUCCACUGGAAUCGGGAAGUCCAGUUCUGCACCUUGUUUCACCGGCUGGGUCAACAACUGGUUAGCCGGUUUGGCUUCGAAUUUCACAUUGGCAACCAGUUCCG
rnacentral:misc_RNA from 1 species